rnacentral:misc_RNA from 1 species
GAAAUGCGAUAAGUAGUGUGAAUUGCAGAAUUCAGUGAAUCAUCGAAUCUUUGAACGCACAUUGCGCCCAUUGGUAUUCCAUGGGGCAUGCCUGUUCGAGCGUCAUUUGUACCUUCAAGCUUUGCUUGGUGUUGGGUGUUUGUCUCGCCUCUGCGCGCAGACUCGCCUCAAAACAAUUGGCAGCCGGCGUAUUGAUUUCGGAGCGCAGUACAUCUCGCGCUUUGCACUCAUAACGACGACGUCCAAAAAGUACAUUUUUUACACUCUUGACCUCGGAUCAGGUAGGGAUACCCGCUGAACUUAAGC